AACCAUAGAAACCUGCGGAGUACCUGCGGAGGGAUCAUUACCGAGUUUACAACUCCCAAACCCCUGUGAACAUACCUAUACGUUGCCUCGGCGGAUCAGCCCGCGCCCCGUAAAAAGGGACGGCCCGCCCGAGGACCCCUAAACUCUGUUUUUAGUGGAACUUCUGAGUAAAACAAACAAAUAAAUCAAAACUUUUAGCAACGGAUCU
rnacentral:misc_RNA from 1 species